rnacentral:rRNA from 1 species
AAUAGUGGCUUCCGGAGCUAACGCGUUAAAUCGACCGCCGGGGAGUACGGCCGCAAGGUUAAAACUCAAAUGAAUUGACGGGGGCCCGCACAAGCGGUGGAGCAUGUGGUUUAAUUAGAUGCAACGCGAAGAACCUUACCUACUCUUGACAUCCAGAGAACUUUCCAGAGAUGGAUUGGUGCCUUCGGGAACUCUGAGACAGGUGCUGCAUGGCUGUCGUCAGCUCGUGUUGUGAAAUGUUGGGUUAAGUCCCGCAACGAGCGCAACCCUUAUCCUUUGUUGCCAGCGAUUCGGUCGGGAACUCAAAGGAGACUGCCGGUGAUAAACCGGAGGAAGGUGGGGAUGACGUCAAGUCAUCAUGGCCCUUACGAGUAGGGCUACACACGUGCUACAAUGGCGUAUACAAAGAGAAGCAAGCUCGCGAGAGCAAGCGGACCUCAUAAAGUACGUCGUAGUCCGGAUUGGAGUCUGCAACUCGACUCCAUGAAGUCGGAAUCGCUAGUAAUCGUAGAUCAGAAUGCUACGGUGAAUACGUUCCCGGGCCUUGUACACACCGCCCGUCACACCAUGGGAGUGGGUUGCAAAAGAAGUAGGUAGCUUAACCUUCGGGAGGGCGCUUAACAAAAAUAAUGUUACCUACACUG